rfam:Glycine soja cultivar W05 scaffold358_50, whole genome shotgun sequence.
ACCAAUGAUGUUACAAUCCAACAUGUGAGGGCUGUAGUUUAGCCAAGACCCUCUUUUGAGGGAGAUCCUACUUAGUGUGGCUACAUUUUCUAUUACAACAAAGGUUGUUCUCAGGU